rnacentral:rRNA from 1 species
UACGUAGGGUGCGAGCGUUAAUCGGAAUUACUGGGCGUAAAGCGUGCGCAGGCGGUUCGUCGUGUCCGAUGUGAAAGCCCCGGGCUCAACCUGGGAAUGGCAUUGGAAACUGGCGGACUCGAGUGUGGCAGAGGGGGGUGGAAUUCCGCGUGUAGCAGUGAAAUGCGUAGAGAUGUGGAGGAACACCGAUGGCGAAGGCAGCCUCCUGGGCCAGCACUGACGCUCAUGCACGAAAGCGUGGGGAGCAAACAGG